GAAUGAUUAGCUCAGUGGUUAGAGCUUAGGUCUCACAACCGGAAAGUCCCGGGAUCGAACCCCGCUGAAAGGCA
rnacentral:tRNA from 1 species